CAUGAGUGUAUAUUAGAUUUGUUGUAGUUAAAAAGCUCGUAGUCGGAAAUAAGAAUAUUUUGAUAAUGAAAGCGGGCGCUGUUAUGACAAAUGUCGUUUCAGUGCCACUUUCAAUUUCGAUAUUCUUUUAACGGGAAAUUAGACCUGCACUUGUGCAACUAUUUUCUCUUUUUACUUUGAAAAAAUUAGAGUGUUCAAAGCAAGGAGUUUUCUUAUGAAACAUCUUAACCUUUUGAAUAGUCCAGCAUGGGAUAAUGAAACAAGACCUUUUUUUGAUUUUAUUGGUUCUGCAAAGUUUUAUUGGUAAUGAUUAAGAGGGACAGUUGGGGAUAUUUGUAUUUCGCAGCUAGAGGUGAAAUUCUUGGAUUUGCGAAGGACAGACUUCUGCGAAAGCAUUUAUCAAGGAUGUUUUCAUUGA
rnacentral:rRNA from 1 species